rnacentral:tRNA from 2 species
CGCUAAGAAGCUAAAGCAGGACCGUAGCGUUAGCCUUUUAAGCUAGAGAUUGGUGCCCCCUAACCACCCUUAGCGA